GGGCGACCAGGCCAGAUGUGGACAGAUUGGUCUCUGCUUUUGAGGUUCUCUACAGAAUGUGAGCACCACCUCGAGUUGCCCGAGGCUCUACAUAUUUGCAGGUACCAGUUAUGGAUGAGUUGUUUUUUUGUGCUUUUUCAGGAACCAGGGUCUUUUCUAUUACAUGUAGUUAGUGGGGGAGGAGGCACGUGCAACGCUGCGUGCCGGGGUCAGAGGGCAACUUACGGUAAUCGGUUUUCUCCUUCCAUCAUAUGGGUCCCAGUGAUCAAACUCAGGUUGUCAGGCUGGGGUGCAAAUGCCUUUACCUGAUGAGCCAUCUUGCUGGCCCUUUAGUUUUGUUUUCAGGAAGAGAUAGUAAUGUCUUGCUGCUCUGCGGCCCACGCUGGUCUUGAACUCAUGAUUCAACUUCAACUUCCUGAGAGCUGAAAUCACCGGCCUGUGUGACCUCUCCAAACUUUGUAGUUGCGAUCUAGUCGGAUAAAUGAGCACACGCAAUGGGCGGAGCUAAGCUGAUUGCGACCAAAAAAAAAAAAAAAAA
rnacentral:lncRNA from 1 species